rnacentral:lncRNA from 1 species
AGAACAGAGUUAGGAACAGGGUAAUGGAACAGCAUUAGGAAUGGAGUUAGGAACGGAGUUAAGAACAGGGUAAUGGACAGCGUUAGGAAUGGAGUUAGGAACGGAGUUAGGAACAGCAUUAGGAACAGAGUUAGGAACGGAGUUAGGAACAGGAGUUAGGAAUGGAGUUAGGAACAGAGUUAGGAACAGCAUUAGGAACGGAGUUAGGAACAGAGUUAGGAACAGAGUGAGGAACAGAGUUAGGAA